AGAAAAGGUUGAAUGAAGUUCUAAUCUAUUACUAUAUAUAAAAGUAGAACCCUUAAUGAACCCUAUGUGAGAAGCUGACACGUGGUUUUCUAUAUGCUUGCCACGUGUCAAACUCAAAUAUGGACUCAAAUAUGGAUAUUUAGUUACGAAUUAUUUAAAAUUAUUGGUUAAUAUUUAUCUUUAUUUGGAAAUAAAUUAUUAUUUAGUUAAUUAUUUGAAAUGAUUGGUUGAAAAUUUCUGGACAUAAAAAUAUUAGUAAAAAAUGAUACAGAUAUUUUUGGAAAGAAGAAAAAAUUUAAAACUCACAUCACUCCUGUAAUUUUCUUCGCUCUUAAAUAUUGAUGCUUUAAAAUAGAACAUAUUAUUUCCCUACUGUCACUUCUGUAAUUUUUAUUUAGUAAUUUUUUUUCCCUACUGUCACUCCUAUAACUUUCCAUCUUCAUGCAACAAAGUUUUUUUUCUUUAUAUUUUCUUGAAAACCAACAUCUUCAUGCAACAAAGUUUUUUUUCUUUAUAUUUUCUUGAAAACCAACAUCUAUAUAUUUUUGAAUCUUAAAAGUGACAGUAGGAACAUAAUAUAUGUGUGCUUAUUCUAAUUUGUGUCAAAUAUGAAAGUUUAGUUGAUCUCAUUAUAUGCUUAAAUAUUAAUGUCAUUUGUAAUUUUUCAUAUCAAUUUUAGUUAUCAUUUUAUUUCGCACAUCAAUAUGUAAAUGUAAAUUGUUUUGUACACCAAUUCAUAGAUAAUAGAGCAGUAUUGAAUUUUGUAUUUCAGUUGAAUAUUUACUUUGUCCAAUUUUUUUUUCUCUAGCUUGUAUACUUUAAUAUAUACUAUAAUUAAGAUUGAUAGUAUAUUUUUUUAUUUGUUAAAAAAUAUAAAAUUAAUUAGAAAAUUUUUUUGUUAUCAUUACAUAAUAAUUUUUAUUAUUCUAUAUUAUUAUAUUAGUCGUGCAUCGCACAGGUGAAAAUCUAGUUUAUUUAAAAAGACUUUAAUAUCAUAUCAUAAAGUGCACUCUUAAAUAGGUCAAUUAAUU
rnacentral:lncRNA from 1 species